UUUAUUUACAUCAAACUAAACUAACUGCUAUCUUGAAAUGUUGAAAAAGUGUUUUUAAAUAAUCCAGGCUGAUCCCUCACCUUGAUCACCUCUGGAGUUGAGGUUAACAGCCGAGGUAAUUUUUAUGAUGAAAAUGAAAAAA